CGUGCUACAAUGGGUAGUACAGAGGGUUGCCAAGCCGUAAGGUGGAGCUAAUCCCUUAAAGCUACUCUCAGUUCGGAUUGUAGGCUGAAACUCGCCUACAUGAAGCUGGAGUUACUAGUAAUCGCAGAUCAGAAUGCUGCGGUGAAUGCGUUCCCGGGUCUUGUACACACCGCCCGUCACCCCACGGGAGUUGGAGACGCCCGAAGCCGAUUAUCUAACCUUUUGGAAGAAGUCGUCGAAGGUGGAAUCAAUAACUGGGGUGAAGUCGUAACAAGG
rnacentral:rRNA from 1 species